GAUUUCUGGCACGAUUUGCCUGGCCCGCCACGGUUUCGUGUGUGAGUGCCGGGUCGGAUCUGCCAUCCUUCCAGAGAACGUUCCUACCCUUCACUGGGCCGGGGACGCAAUCUGGAUCGUUUACUUUGAAAAAAUUAGAGUGUUUAAAGCAGGCUUGCGCUAUGAAUACAUUAGCAUGGAAUAAUAAUUUAGGACUUUGGUCUUAUUUUGUUGGUUUCUAGGACUAAAGUAAUGAUUGAUAGGGACAGUUGGGGGUGCUAGUAUUCAGCGGCCAGAGGUGAAAUUCUUGGAUUCGCUGAAGACUAACUUAUGCGAAAGCAUU
rnacentral:rRNA from 1 species